rnacentral:rRNA from 1 species
UACGAAGGUGGCAAGCGUUGUUCGGAUUUACUGGGCGUACAGGGCGCGUAGGCGGUUGGAUAAGUCCUCCGUGAAAUCUCCAGGCUUAACCCGGAAAGUGCAGAGGGGACUGUUCAGCUAGAGGAUGGGAGAGGAGCGCGGAAUUCCCGGUGUAGCGGUGAAAUGCGUAGAGAUCGGGAGGAAGGCCGGUGGCGAAGGCGGCGCUCUGGAACAUUUCUGACGCUGAGGCUCGAAAGCGUGGGGAGCAAACAGG